AGCAGCCGCGGUAAUUCCAGCUCCAAUAGCGUAUAUUAAAGUUGCUGCAGUUAAAAAGCUCGUAGUUGAAUUUCGGGAUCAAUAUGUUGGUCGUGCCUUGGUACGUACUAGCUUAUUGAUUUCUCCUUUCUGACGAACCAUGAUGUCAUUAAUUUGGUGUCAUGGGGAAUCAGGACUGUUACUUUGAAAAAAUUGAGUGUUUAAAGCAGGCUCGCGCUUGAAUACAUUAGCAUGGAAUAAUGAAAUAGGACAUUUGAUUCUAUUUUGUGGUUUCUAGGAUCGAUGUAAUGAUUAAUAGGGAUAGUGGGGGCAUUAGUAUUCAAUUGUCAGAGGUUGAAAUUCUUAGGAUUUUAGUGAAGACUAACUACUGACGAAGCAUUUGCCAAGGAUGUUUCAUUAAUCAAGAACGAAGUUAGGGAU
rnacentral:rRNA from 1 species